UGAUAAUAUAUUCCGAUAUAUGUUUCCACAUAAGUUAUUGAUUAUAUUUUAUUCUUAAAUCUAAAAAUUUUAUUUAAUAAUUUUAUCGAUUAUAUUAUAGAAAAGAAACUAUUGUUCUAUGUUCAUACAUGGAUAUAUUUUUCUUAGCAGGACGUAUCUUUUGAUCCCAUUCAACUUCCGAUUAUUUCGGAAGCGACAGGCUCAUACCGCAUCAUUAAGCGUAAUUCUAUUCAUUUUUUCCGGACAACAAAAAAAAGACACUAUGCCGCAUGGCUUUCAAUGUAGCAGCCGACUUAAUUAUACGGUUGCACGAGCAGAAGAAAAGAGAUUUUAAAUGAAAUUAAAUCAUGCUUCCGUGCAAAGGAUCCACAGAAACAGU